GACGAACGCUGGCGGCGUGCCUAAUACAUGCAAGUCGAACGCAGUGGGGACGGGUGAGUAACACGUGGGUAACCUCCCAUCAGAGGGGAUAACACUUGGAAACAGGUGCUAAACCGAUACUGAUGGAUGAACCCGCGGUGCAUUAGCUAGUUGGUGAGGUAACGGCUCACCAAGGCCACGAGGCAUAGCCGACCUGAGAGGUGGAUGGGCAAAACGGGGACUGGGACAGGGCCCAGACUCUGAGGGGAGGCAGCAGUAGGGAUUCUUCGGCAAUGGACGAAAGUCUGACCGAGCAACGCCGGGUGGUUGAAGAGGGUUUGCGGAUCGUAAACCUCGGUGGUUAGAGAAGCGGUAUCUAACCAGAAAGCCACGGCGAACUACGUGCCAGCAGCCGGGGUAAUA
rnacentral:rRNA from 1 species